GCUGCCUCUAGAGGCGUUGCAGCGUGACUGCCGUGUCACGUUUGUGUCAUUAGAUGGCAGAGAGUAACGGGCUGUUUCUACGCUCAGCACUUGAAUGACGUGGGUGCUCAGAAUGAUUGAUAGCCCGACAUU